AUACGUAGGGGGCUAGCGUUAUCCGGAAUUACUGGGCGUAAAGGGUGCGUAGGUGGUUUCUUAAGUCAGAAGUGAAAGGCUACGGCUCAACCGUAGUAAGCUUUUGAAACUAAGAGACUUGAGUGCAGGAGAGGAGAGUAGAAUUCCUAGUGUAGCGGUGAAAUGCGUAGAUAUUAGGAGGAAUACCAGUUGCGAAGGCGGCUCUCUGGACUGUAACUGACACUGGUGCACGAAAGCGUGGGGAGCAAACAGGUUUAGAUACCCUGUUAGUCCACGCCGUAAACGAUGAGUACUAGCUGUCGGGGGUUACCCCCCUCGGUGGCGCAGCUAACGCAUUAAGUACUCCGCCUGGGAAGUCCGCUCGCAAGAGUGAAACUCAAAUGAAUUGACGGGG
rnacentral:rRNA from 1 species